GCUGGGCAUGGUUGUGCAUGCCUGUAAUCCCAGCUACUUGGGAGGCUGAGGCAGGAGAAUCACUUGAACCCAGGGGGCGGAAGUUGCAGUGAGCCGAGAUCAUGCCACUGCACUCCAGCCUGGGCAACAGAGUGAGACCCCGUCUCAA
rnacentral:SRP_RNA from 2 species